rnacentral:rRNA from 1 species
GAUGAACGCUAGCGGCAGGCCUAACACAUGCAAGUCGAGGGGUAACAGGAGAGCUUGCUCUCGCUGACGACCGGCGCACGGGUGCGUAACGCGUAUACAAUUUACCUUAUACUGGAGGAUAGCCCGGAGAAAUCCGGAUUAAUACUCCAUAACAUUACAGAAUCGCAUGAUUCCAUAAUUAAAGUUUCGGCGGUAUAAGAUGAGUAUGCGUCCUAUUAGUAGUUGGUAAGGUAACGGAUUACCAAGACAGCGGUAGUAGGGGGCCUGAGAGGGUUAUCCCCCANACUGGUACUGAGACACGGACCAGACUCCUACGGGAGGCAGCAGUGAGGAAUAUUGGACAAUGGAGGCAACUCUGAUCCAGAACCAUGCCGCGUGAAGGGAAGAAUGUCCUACGGGAUUGU